GGAACACUCUGGAACAACCACAGGAGGGAUGGGACAGGGAGGAGCUUGGAACAUUCAGGAACAACCACAGCAUGGAUGGGAGAGCUUGGAACACCCAGGAACAACCACAGGGAGGAGCUGGGAACACCCAGGAACAACCACAGGAGCAACAGGAAAGUCCUGAGCUGUCCCCGGAGUCCUGGGCUGCCCCCAGAGUCACCCUGAGGAGGCAGCAGGACCUGGAAGGCUCCUGGGAGGAGAUUGGAUCUGCCAGAUCCGAUAGGGGAAUGUCCCGGCCCAGCCCACGGGACAGACUAAACUGUUGUGGUUGUCCCAGACGUGAUGCUUCAGAAAUGUGAAAACAAAGAGGGUUUAUCAGACAGUUCCUAAACAUUCCCCCCCCCCCAUGGAGGUUGAGGCUCCACAGCUGCUGCUGCCCCAGGAAUGCUCUGGGAGCACCAAAGCUCAGCCUUCCUGGGCAGUUUUGCUGCUUAAAGCCCAACAGAAGCCACGGCUGCUUCCAGACACUGCUCCAUGUGCUGGUCCUUCCUUAACAGGUGGGGGCUUCCCAAACUCUGCCCGAGGCAAAGAGAGGGAUGGGAAUGGCCCCUCAGCCCUGGAGAGUGAACAGCAGCAAUAAAUGAGGACACACAGCCAUGGGGGCAGAUCUCUGCAAGAGCUGGGUCAUCCAGGACAUUUCUGGACCACAUGGACUGUGUGGGAUCAUGGAAUCGUGGAACGGGCCGGGUGGGAAGGGACCUUAAAGCUCAUCCUGUCCCACGGGCAGGGGCACCUUCCAUGGCCCAGGUGGCUCCAGGCCCAUCUAACCCGGCCUUGGACACUUCCAGGGGUGGGGCAGCCACAGCUUCUCUGGGAAUUCCAUCCCAGCCCCUCCCCACCCUCUCGGGGAGGGAUUUCUCCCCAAUAUCUUCCCUAAACCUUCUGUUUUCUGGUUUAAAGUCACCUGUGCAGCAAGGGAAGGGACUCCCUUCUUCCCAGCCAGCUCUGGAACGAGGCUGCAGCCCCAAAAAUCCCCAAAUUGUGUGGAAAAACCAGAUAGAAAAAACUGUUUGAGGCUCCUCACGUUUCUUUGACACCCAGGGCCGUGCUGGGAGCAAGACCUGACAAGCCUCAGGUGUGGAUUCCAGCGGGAAGAAUCCAUUCCCAAAGCCGCAGCUUCCUGGUCCGUGAGGAGCCAAACAGGAGCAGCAGGUAAAUCUCGUGGGAUGUUUGUGGACCCAGAGCCGAGCGGGAGUCGCGCGGUCCCGAUGGAAUGGGAGGGAUGGAAGGAGCCUGUGGUGGCCUGGCAGGUUCGGCUGUUUGGGACACUCUAAUUCCAAGUAUUGUUGGAAACACCUUAAACUGGGGCCUGAAGGGAAACAUGAACCUGGGAUCUUGUCACCUUUGCUCAUGGGAUGAGAUGGAAAACCAGCUGAGGAUGUUGUUGGAAAGGGACCAAGGCAACACUCCACUCCCCCGAACAACCAAAACGUUACUUUUAAUCCCAAUUCUGGUAAAUAAAUGCCUGAGAUACCCCGGCAAGAUCUUUCUGGCGCCAGAUUCCAGGAUGACAUAAGGAAAUACAUCCCACUCUGGGUCGGAAUAUCUUAAUUACUGUGAUUUUCCAGGUGGGAGAAGCUGGAUGUGGGAGCCAUCCCUUUGAUCCCACGAGCUCUUGGAGCUGCUUAAGGGUCUUCCUCCCCUUCUUCCUCCCCCUCUU